rnacentral:misc_RNA from 1 species
AAGUCGUAACAAGGUUUCCGUACGUGAACCUGCGGAAGGAUCAUUAACACGUAUCCAAACGUUAAAACAACCCUGUAAAUAUUAACGCGUGUUCUUGCUUGACACCAAAACAGCAAUCGCUGUAGGUCCUCACGACCGGCGACCGGGGUGGAGGCUAACGCCCUAUGUACCUCCGGGACUUGGCGAAAGCUGACUCCGUCAUAAAUCGAACAACUGUUAACAAUGGAUAUCUUGGUUCUC